rnacentral:rRNA from 1 species
GUAGGUGGCAAGCGUUGUCCGGGAAUUAUUGGGGCGUAAAGCGCGCGCAGGCGGUUCUUUAAGUCUGAUGUGAAAGCCCACGGGCUCAACCGUGGAGGGUCAUUGGAAACUGGAGAACUUGAGUACAGAAGAGGAAAGCGGAAUUCCACGUGUAGCGGUGAAAUGCGUAGAGAUGUGGAGGAACACCAGUGACGAAGGCGGCUUUCUGGUCUGUAACUGACGCUGAGGCGCGAAAGCGUGGGGAGCAAACAGGAUUAGAUACCCUGGUAGUCCACGCCGUAAACGAUGAGUGCUAAGUGUUAGGGGGUUUCCGCCCCUUAGUGCUGCAGCUAACGCAUUAAGCACUCCGCCUGGGGAGUACGGCCGCAAAGGCUGA